AAGACUAUACUUGCAGGGACCAUUUCUGUAGUGUGUUACUAGGGAAGUUUCUCUGAACGUGUAGAGCCCCCAAAACCAUGAGGAGGAGGUGGGGUGUUCUCUCCUGCCAGUGAAGCCGGUUCUUGGUGUUGCUUCGGUAACUGCCACUUGCCAUUGAUGAUCCUUCUUUCCCUUUGAGGGAGUAAGGGGGAGAGAGCACUGUCUUGUGUGGC